rnacentral:rRNA from 1 species
CACAUGCAAGUCGAGGGGCAGCAUGGUCUUAGCUUGCUAAGGCCGAUGGCGACCGGCGCACGGGUGAGUAACACGUAUCCAACCUGCCGUCUACUCUUGGACAGCCUUCUGAAAGGAAGAUUAAUACAAGAUGGCAUCAUGAGUCCGCAUGUUCACAUGAUUAAAGGUAUUCCGGUGGACGAUGGGGAUGCGUUCCAUUAGAUAGUAGGCGGGGUAACGGCCCACCUAGUCUUCGAUGGAUAGGGGUUCUGAGAGGAAGGUCCCCCACAUUGGAACUGAGACACGGUCCAAACUCCUACGGGAGGCAGCAGUGAGGAAUAUUGGUCAAUGGGCGAGAGCCUGAACCAGCCAAGUAGCGUGAAGGAUGACUGCCCUAUGGGUUGUAAACUUCUUUUAUAAAGGAAUAAAGUCGGGUAUGUAUACCCGUUUGCAUGUACUUUAUGAAUAAGGAUCGGCUAACUCCGUGCCAGCAGCCGCGGUAAUACGGAGGAUCCGAGCGUUAUCCGGAUUUAUUGGGUUUAAAGGGAGCGUAGAUGGAUGUUUAAGUCAGUUGUGAAAGUUUGCGGCUCAACCGUAAAAUUGCAGUUGAUACUGGAUAUCUUGAGUGCAGUUGAGGCAGGCGGAAUUCGUGGUGUAGCGGUGAAAUGCUUAGAUAUCACGAAGAACUCCGAUUGCGAAGGCAGCCUGCUAAGCUGCAACUGACAUUGAGGCUCGAAAGUGUGGGUAUCAAACAGGAUUAGAUACCCUGGUAGUCCACACGGUAAACGAUGAAUACUCGCUGUUUGCGAUAUACUGCAAGCGGCCAAGCGAAAGCGUUAAGUAUUCCACCUGGGGAGUACGCCGGCAACGGUGAAACUCAAAGGAAUUGACGGGGGCCCGCACAAGCGGA